ACACCACCCUAACACCGAAUCGUCCAACUGCGUCUUCCACGCGGCGCCACGUGAGGCUUUAGUGGCGCAGCUAACGCGAUAAGUAGACCGCCUGGGGAGUACGGUCGCAAGACUAAAACUCAAAUGAAUUGACGGGGGCCCGCACAAGCGGUGGAGCAUGUGGUUUAAUUCGAUGCAACGCGAAGAACCUUACCUGGCCUUGACAUAGUAAGAACUUUCCAGAGAUGGAUUGGUGCCUUCGGGAACUUACAUACAGGUGCUGCAUGGCUGUCGUCAGCUCGUGUCGUGAGAUGUUGGGUUAAGUCCCGCAACGAGCGCAACCCUUUUCCUUAUUUGCCAGCGAGUAAUGUCGGGAACUUUAAGGAUACUGCCAGUGACAAACUGGAGGAAGGCGGGGACGACGUCAAGUCAUCAUGGCCCUUACGGCCAGGGCUACACACGUGCUACAAUGGUCGGUACAAAGGGGUUGCUACCUAGCGAUAGGAUGCUAAUCUCAAAAAGCCGAUCGUAGUCCGGGAUUGGAGUCUGCAACUCGACUCCAUGAAGUCGGAAUCGCUAGUAUCGGCGGGAAUCCAGAAUUGCCCGCGGGUGAAUACGUUUCCCGGGCCUUGUACACACCGCCCGUCACACCAUGGGGAGUUUGUUGCACCAGAAGUAGCUAGCCUAACUGCAAGAGGGCGGUUACCACGGUGUGGCCGAUGACUGGGUGAGUACAAAGGGAAAAAA
rnacentral:rRNA from 1 species